UACGAAGGGUGCAAACGUUGCUCGGAAUUAUUGGGCGUAAAGCGCACGUAGGCGGCUUAGCAAGUCGGAUGUGAAAGCCCUCGGCUCAACCAAGGAAGUGCAUCCGAAACUGCUGAGCUUGAGUACUUAAGAGGAUCGCGGAAUUCCCGGUGUAGAGGUGAAAUUCGUAGAUAUCGGGAGGAGCACCAGUGGCGAAGGCGGCGAUCUGGGAAGAUACUGACGCUGAGGUGCGAAAGCGUGGGGAGCAAACAGG
rnacentral:rRNA from 1 species